rnacentral:rRNA from 1 species
GUGACGAAGCGACGCCGCGUGUGGGAAGAAGGCCUUCGGGUUGUAAACCACUGUCAGGAGUUAAGAAAUGUAAGGGUGCUAAUAGUAUCCUUACUUGACUAAGGCUCCAGAGGAAGCCACGGCUAACUCUGUGCCAGCAGCCGCGGUAAUACAGUGGUGGCAAGCGUUGUUCGGAAUUAUUGGGCGUAAAGAGCACGUAGGCGGUUCUGCAAGUCGGCUGUGAAAGCCUUCCGCUCAACGGAAGAACAGCAGUUGAUACUACAGGACUAGAGUGCGGGAGGGGAGAGUGGAACUUCUGGUGGAGCGGUGAAAUGCGUAGAUAUCAGAAGGAACGCCGGCGGCGAAAGCGUCUCUCUGGCCCGUAACUGACGCUGAGUGUGCGAAAGCUAGGGGAGCAAACGGGAUUAGAUACCCCGGUAGUCCUAGCCGUAAACGAU